GAUGAACGCUGGCGGCGUGCCUAAUACAUGCAAGUCGAGCGAACGGACGAGGAGCUUGCUCUUCUGACGUUAGCGGCGGACGGGUGAGUAACACGUGGAUAACCUACCUAUAAGACUGGGAUAACUUCGGGAAACCGGAGCUAAUACCGGAUAAUAUUUUGAACCGCAUGGUUCAAAAGUGAAAGACGGUCUUGCUGUCACUUAUAGAUGGAUCCGCGCUGCAUUAGCUAGUUGGUAAGGUAACGGCUUACCAAGGCAACGAUGCAUAGCCGACCUGAGAGGGUGAUCGGCCACACUGGAACUGAGACACGGUCCAGACUCCUACGGGAGGCAGCAGUAGGGAAUCUUCCGCAAUGGGCGAAAGCCUGACGGAGCAACGCCGCGUGAGUGAUGAAGGUCUUCGGAUCGUAAAACUCUGUUAUUAGGGAAGAACAAAUGUGUAAGUAACUAUGCACAUCUUGACGGUACCUAAUCAGAAAGCCACGGCUAACUACGUG
rnacentral:rRNA from 1 species